AACGAACGCUGGCGGCAGGCCUAACACAUGCAAGUCGAGCGGGACCUUCGGGUCUAGCGGCGGACGGGUUAGUAACGCGUGGGAACGUGCCCAAAGGUACGGAAUAGCCUCGGGAAACUGAGAGUAAUACCGUAUGUGCCCCUCGGGGGAAAGAUUUAUCGCCUUUGGAUCGGCCCGCGUUGGAUUAGGUAGUUGGUGGGGGUAAUGGCCUACCAAGCCGACGAUCCAUAGCUGGUUUGAGAGGAUGAUCAGCAACGCUGGGACUGAGACACGGCCCAGACUCCUACGGGAGGCAGCAGUGGGGAAUAUUGGACAAUGGGCGCAAGCCUGAUCCAGCCAUGCCGCGUGAGUGAUGAAGGCCUUAGGGUUGUAAAGCUCUUUCAGUGGGGACGAUAAUGACGGUACCCACAGAAGAAGCCCCGGCUAACUUCGUGCCAGCAGCCGCGGUAAU
rnacentral:rRNA from 1 species